GCUGGAUCUUGGUGCUUUAAGUGACAUCACCGGAACACUAUUGUUCUUCAUCUAUUGGACUCUGCUUUUUAUUGUGUUGGCUGCAUCCUCAGGCAUAUUCUCCCACUAUAGUAAGAGUCUUCCUCACAUUUCCAGAUUUACAUCACAAAGAGAGUUUGUCCUUCACCAUAGUUCCAGAAGUUCCAGAAUUUUCGUUGGACUCGGGCUGACUUCAGUCACAUCCCAAAAACACCCACUGUGUGAUGGCACACACAGUGUUUCAGUUGGCCGGACCGAGGUAAAAUGAUCUCCUCUAGAACCAAAGGUGGAGUCAGAACACAGAGUGAGGAGAGACUGAUUUCUAAAGGAAAACCAAGAGUCAGCUACAGAAUAGAAGGGAAAUGGAUUUUGGAAGCCCUGAAAAAACAGGCUUUGGAAAAAAGAGUCCUUGGAGAUGCAAAUCCUUCAUUACCUGAUCAAAGAGGCAGAGCACUAAAGACCAUAGUACCCAGCUUUUGCUUCCAUAGAUGAACAUAGCUCAACUCAAAAUCUUGAUUGAGUCCAGAAUAGGGAAUUCAGGAGUGGAUGAUGCAGUGGAGAGGAUCAUCAUCAGAUGAAUUACAUAGAGACAAACAUGGGACUGAGAAGCCAAUGAUGACCCCCAGGGAAAAGGAAAUAUGUGAGUUGAGCCUUGAGAGAGAAGGAGAUCAUUUCCCAGGAAUGCUAAGGAACCAUUUUCUUCUACUUCAUUUGACUCUGGACAUCUUGACUGAAAAUGUAGCCAAAAAAGUCCAUUUUGUCUCAAUGAUGUAGUUUAAAGGACAAAACUGCACUGUUGAUUUACUCCACCAUUAAUGAAGAAAAUGCUCAGUUACUUUCACCAAAUUUGCUAAGCUAUAAAUGGGCUCGAGGUAAUUUUUUAUUCUGAUAUGGCCUCAGUGCAUGAUUUUUCCCCAUUUAACAAACAAUGGUCAUUUAUAACCUAUGAUUUUUAGUCCAUUUUCUGUUGCUUCCCUAGAACUGGGUAGUUUAUUUUUAAAAAUAAUUUAUUUCUUCCAGUUAUGAAGGCUGAGAAGUCCAAGGCUGAGGGAGCUGCCUCUGGUGAGGGCCUUCUUGCUGGUGGGGACACUCUGCAGAGUCCUGAGGCAGAAGAGGGCAUCACAUGUUAAGGAGGCUGAGUUUGUUAGUUCAGGUUUCUGUUCCUCUGCUUAUAAAGCCACCGCUUCCAAAUAUAAAUUAGCUCAACCAUUGUGGAAGACAGUGUGGUGAUUCCUCAAGUAUCUAGAACCAGAAAUACCAUUUGACCCAGCAAUUCCAUUACUGGGUAUAUACCCAAAGAAAUAUAAAUCAUUCUGUUACAAAGAUACAUGCAUGUGUAUGUUUAUUGCAGCACUAUUCACAAUAGCAAAGAUAUGGAAUCAACCCAAAUGCCCAUCUAUAAUAGACUGGAUAAAGAAAAUGUGGUACCUAUAUACCAUGGAAUACUAUGCAGCCAUAAAAAGGAAUGAGGUCAUGUUCUUUGCAGGGACAUAGAUGGAGUUGGAAGUCGUUAUCCUCAGCAAACUAAUACAGGAACAGAAAACCAAAUACUGCAUGCUCUCACUCAUAAGUGGCAGCUGAACAGUGAGAACAGAUGGACACAGG
ensembl:lincRNA